rnacentral:rRNA from 1 species
GGCGUGGCUAAUACUGCAAGUCGAGCGAAUCGACGGGAGCUUGCUCCCUUAGAUUAGCGGCGGACGGGUGAGUAACACGUGGGUAACCUGCCUAUAAGACUGGGAUAACUUCGGGAAACCGGAGCUAAUACCGGAUAAUUUCUUCCCUCGCAUGAGGGAAGAUGGAAAGACGGUUCUGCUGUCACUUAUAGAUGGACCCGCGGCGCAUUAGCUAGUUGGUGAGGUAAUGGCUCACCAAGGCGACGAUGCGUAGCCGACCUGAGAGGGUGAUCGGCCACACUGGGACUGAGACACGGCCCAGACUCCUACGGGAGGCAGCAGUAGGGAAUCUUCCGCAAUGGACGAAAGUCUGACGGAGCAACGCCGCGUGAACGAAGAAGGCCUUCGGGUCGUAAAGUUCUGUUGUUAGGGAAGAACAAGUACCAGAGUAACUGCUGGUACCUUGACGGUACCUAACCAGAAAGCCACGGCUAACUACGUGCCAGCAGCCGCGGUAAUACGUAGGUGGCAAGCGUUGUCCGGAAUUAUUGGGCGUAAAGCGCGCGCAGGUGGUUCUUUAAGUCUGAUGUGAAAGCCCACGGCUCAACCGUGGAGGGUCAUUGGAAACUGGGGAACUUGAGUGCAGAAGAGGAAAGU